rnacentral:rRNA from 1 species
CUACGGGACGCUGCAGUGGGGAAUAUUGCACAAUGGGCGCAAGCCUGAUGCAGCCAUGCCGCGUGUAUGAAGAAGGCCUUCGGGUUGUAAAGUACUUUCAGCGGGGAGGAAGGGAGUAAAGUUAAUACCUUUGCUCAUUGACGUUACCCGCAGAAGAAGCACCGGCUAACUCCGUGCCAGCAGCCGCGGUAAUACGGAGGGUGCAAGCGUUAAUCGGAAUUACUGGGCGUAAAGCGCACGCAGGCGGUUUGUUAAGUCAGAUGUGAAAUCCCCGGGCUCAACCUGGGAACUGCAUCUGAUACUGGCAAGCUUGAGUCUCGUAGAGGGGGGUAGAAUUCCAGGUGUAGCGGUGACAUGCGUAGAGAUCUGGAGGAAUACCGGUGGCGAGGGCGGCCCCCUGGACGAAGACUGACGCUCAGGUGCGAAAGCGUGGGGAGCAAACAGGAUUAGAUACCCCUGUAGUC